rnacentral:misc_RNA from 1 species
GAUGAAGAACGUAGCGAAAUGCGAUAAGUAAUGUGAAUUGCAGAAUUUAGUGAAUCAUCGAAUCUUUGAACGCAUAUUGCGCCCGCCAGCACUCUGGCGGGCAUGCCUGUUCGAGCGUCAUUUCAACCCUCAGGCCUCGCGUCUGGCGUUGGGGCGCUGCGGCCCUCCCGCAGGCCCCCAAAUUUAGCGGCGGAUUCCCCGCGGCCCUGAGCGCAGUAGAGAGUAAAAACUUUAACGCUCCGGCGGCCGUGGCGCGGUUCUGCCUCUUUCCCAAUAGCGCCAAUAGCGCCACCCCCAAAAAAGUUGACCUCGGAUCAGGUAGGACUACCCGCUGAACUUAAGCAUAUCAAUAAGCGGAGGA